ensembl:lncRNA
AAGGAGGAAUGAUAAAGACAGGAAGUAUGUGUAGAAUUCUACAGCAAAGCAAGUAUAAAAGGGUGGAAGAGAAGAAGGCUGAAGCUAAGAUGUCAUCCUCUUGUUUAGAAGAUUAAACUAAUCUUCAUCUCAUGGUGACAGCCUGGGUUGGCAUCCUCACACUGCUGUUGACAAAUGAUUUUGUGACGAUGCGCAUUUGUGUUAACCCAUAUUAGCAGUAGGAGUCAGGCACUGGAGUUACAGUAUGUGUCAUCAUCACAGAGUGGGAAAUUGAUUGAAACAAUUUCCUAUCUAGCCACAGUGGGCAGCUCCUAAGCUGUUUUGGUCUUUGCACAAAGGAAGAAUUUAAAGGAAUUCAGUACUGAAACAAGUUUACUCUGACAAAUACAUCCUCAUCCAGGAUCUAAUGCCAUUGCCAGUGGAGAACGCAGCCCUGAUCUGAAUGGUGGAAAAGAAUGUGUAAAUUAUUGAACCAUAGAAUCACAGAAUCACAAAGGUUGGAAAAGACCACUGAGGUCAUCUAGUCUAACUGUCAGCCUAUCCACUCCAUACCCAGUAACCAUUUCCCUCAGUGCCACAUCUACACGUUCCUUGAACACUUCCAGGGACAGUGACUCCACUGCCUCCCUGGGCAGACAGAGCAUUGAUCAUUGCAUCAUCACUUCCUGGCAUGGACAGAGAGAGGACAUGGUGGUGCAGCACUAAAAACCUAACAGUAUCCUGGAAUAUUCACUACUUGGCCUGGCCUCUUUGGAUUUCAGCAUGAUUAACCUGUGUUAUACAAGCUCAUACCUUCACCUGGAAUGGUAACCAAUUACAUAGUUAGUCACUGAAAUAAACUAUCUACUAGAACAGCUUGGAAGUGCUCUUUAGAAAAACACUGUUAGAAAAAAAGAAGGAGUAUUUAAGAAAAAUAUUUUUCCUCAAAUACUGAAGAAUUUGAAAGAAAGCAAAACAUACUGCAGAAAGCCUUUGUUUAAUAAACUCCUGAAUUUUCCCAUUACUGCAAAGUUAGAAUGGAAAAUACUAGAAGAGUCUCAGUGCUUGAGAGUGGAUGACCUUAUCAGACUGCUGCAAGAUGCAGAAAAGCAGAACCACGAAUUCCCUUCUCUCCAGGGUCCUUGCUCAGGAGCAGGCAAUGAGCAAAUCACGGCUAAGGUCUUCAGGUGCAACAGAGCAUAUAUAUUGCCACUCACCAAGGAGGACAGCAUUCACCCCCAGAGAUGUGCUUUUGUGCAUGUGGCUUAAAACAGCAUUUACCUAUUUUUUCCUCUUUUCCCCUCUUCUGAAGCCAUUUCAUUUGUGCAAAUUCACAUCUAGAUUGCUCUUUGUUUUAGAGGAAAAGCUCCAUCAUCGUGAUCCACAGAGGCUUGGGACCUUGUAAUAGAAUUGCGUGUCUUGUUGGACUCAGAAAUUUCAAGAGGCACAAACUUCAUACCAUGCUGAAUUUAAGCCAUUCUUGGCAUCAUCAGGAGACCAUGGGCUCAGCUUCAGACUCUCCUGAGGCUUAUGCGUGGUACAUAAACUCAAAUAGUAACUCCCACUUCUUCCUGGCCAUGCAUUGUGCGCAAAAGAGGAGAGGAAGCAGGAACAUCGUUUGCACUAAGGCAACACUGAGAAGAUCCUACUGUUUGAAGAUGAGGUCAUGAUUGCAGUGGCAUAGUUAUUUACUUCCUAAUGACGCAAGAACUCACUGCAAAUAAAAAAUAUAAAGAACAACUCUUCCCUUUAUAUCUCUUGCUGAGAGAAUGCUGAUUGCAUGUCAAGGAAUGGUGUUUUUAGGUUAAAAUAAAGUUAUUAUUAAGAUGUUUUUUCUUGUUUCAGGCCUGGUUUUAUAAUGUCACCUAAGUGAGUUAGUCCUACUGAAAUAAAGGAGGAGCCUCCUGUUAUUUAAGUAUAGACUGGUAUGGUUGCAUUUUUUUACUGUUUUGUUUUUGUUUUUGUUGUUGUUGUUGUUGAAUUUCCAUAUUUAGGAGAGCAAAGGGAAUGGAUAAAUCUUCUUGGGCAUCACUGCUGUCUCAGCUACCAAACCAUGCUCAGGUGGAUCCAGUGCCACAGUUGCAUGGUUGGCAUUGUUGUUGUCAACCUAAUUAAUAGUUUCAUCAUUUAAAAAUGGGUGAAAAAGGUGAUAGGUGUUUUGUUGUUGUUGUUGUUUUUGGUAGGUUCCAGUUUGCUUGCAUUUCACGCUACUAAAAUAAUAAAAUUGCAUUGGAUGCCACUUUAUCAGUCUGAUAACCUCGGAGAGCAAUAGCAUUACUCCUAUGGCUAACUUAAAUACGAGCUGGAACAGCACCUAUGAAGUCAAUAAACCCCUUUCUUGGGUUUCAGAAAUGCUGAUUCACUCAAAUGCAGUUAAAAGAAUAACUGAAUUGAUUAAAUCACACUUGAAUUAAAGUCGAGGCUCAAAUAUUUUGAUGCAUUUGACAGAAAAUCAAAAUAACUUUUAUGCAGUGAAGAAUGGACUGAAAAAGUAUUUCUGCCUCUUCAGUGAACAGGAAAGUGGUCAGUUCAGAUGAAAUGGUUAUCUUGACCAUUUCCAUGUAGCUCUUUAAUAGGUUCAUCUCUAUUUGCAAAUACUUGUGUUAUUACCUUACUCAUGAUUUACAGGGGUGAACAGCUUCUGAGCAGAUGCACACUGAUAAUCACCUUGCACAUUUAUGAGAGGAUACAGUCUCUUUCCAGCAGACUUUUUGAUGGCCACCGAUCCAGAUCUCCAGGUUCAGUUGUGCAGUACUGUGGUGGGCUGACCUUGGCUAAGGGUCAAACGCCCACCUACUUUCACACUUCUGCUCUGCAAUUGUUUUCCAACUGCCUCUUUACUAAUGCCUUGCCAGGUUUCUGGCUAUUCUAGCUAUACUAAUUGACUUCUUACUGGUCAAAAUUCCCCAGGAACCUUCGCAGCUGGACAGACAAAAAUGAAGUUCAGGCACUGUCACAUUUUCUUCACUCACAGAAGCUAGGGACAUCCCAAUUUUCGAUCUCUCUUCGCUGAGGUAUUGCGUUUCUUAUCAAAGAUGAUGAAGAGUUCUGGUUCUGCUGAUGUCAUUCGCUCCUCUCAAGCAUAAGAUAUCCUGUCAAGACUACCAACGGGAAGAUGCUAUAUGAGACAGUGACAGCUAACAGAAAUAGUCCAGGGGUCCCAGCAAAAGUGAUCUGCUUAUAAGCUGCUCCCUGUUCAACGUGGCUGAGUACCUUGGUGUAAUUUCCAGUUUGGAUCUUAAAAGGGAUCAACAAAAGCCUGCAUGCCACGCUUAUGAAAAUCUGCACCAAUGGAGGUGACCCACUGCCGCUGCUGCUACUGCUGAAAUGCACCACCCAUCACCUCACUGUUCUCACUUCCACUGUUUGGUCUCCGUAACACGCAACAAGUAUCAGUGAAUGUCAGUGGGUGACAUUUUUUCCACAUGCAGGAAUUCAGUGACAUAACCUUGCUCCAUUGGCACUUCCAUGCCAGACACCAUUCUAUCAGACUGCCCCUCUGCUGCCAUCUAUUACAGGGCAACAAAAUGUAAUGGAAUACUGGUGGGAAGGUCCAACCUCUAUUGUGGUACCACUGCCUCUGACAUCAUGAGCCGACAUUAUAAUUUUGGGCGCAUUACUUUCAGAGCCACCCUUGUACUAGGCUCAACAAGUCUUCUGCUCAUACGUCUCUUGGAAAAAAAAACAAUUUAUGUUUAGGAGACGUGACCAAAAGUGGCAGCAAUUGUCUUGGAGACUGGAUUUUGGAGCUGUUAAAAACAUUUCAAUCAUCUGUAAAUUACUCGAGAAGUUGAAGUAAUCAAUUCAAUAAUAGUAGGUGCUGGCAGUGCUCUUGGCUUUGUUUUUGCACUGUUUUGGGGUAGGUGUGGAGAAGAGGGGAUAUCACACACUGAGGAACCACUAAAACCCUGUCUGCUGUAUGCAGCUCUGUAUUUCCCCUGAUGAUUGUGCAUGAACCUCAAACUGACUCCAGAAAAUUACAACUGCAGCUCAUCAGUUAAACUCAGUUUCCUGCCAUGACAAAGAACUGAACAGUCAUAACCAAAGGAAGAAAAAUUUGAGCUAUUUUGGGACAAGAAAAAGGCAAUGUGGCUUUUUUAAUGAGAAAGGCAUCUUCCAGUGAAGGAAACAGACUUUUGUGACAGAGCUGUGGAGCUGCUGUUUCUCUGGCAGACAGUUUCAGGCUGCAUUUCUGUUUAAUUGGCAUCAAGCCCAGCAUCAAGCCCAUCUUCAGAGCUACACUUUCCUCUGAGUUUUAAUUUGUACUUAAAAACUAUGCUCCAGUGGCUGAACUUCAUAUUCCCUCACCUACUGCUUUUUCUCUCAGAAAGAAACUGCACUCACUCAGGUGCCAUCACCAGGCUGUUCCUCACCACGUCUCCUCUGCUUCACUGCCGGCACUGCACCUGAGGGGACACACCCAGUCUUCAAGCAAUCAGACAGUUGACACAGAGGUGGUUUAAGUUUAACACAGAAGCUUACUAGGCACAUGAA